UUUAACUGAAGAGUUUGAUCAUGGCUCAGAUUGAACGCUGGCGGCAGGCUUAACACAUGCAAGUCGAGCGGGGGAAGGUAGCUUGCUACUGGACCUAGCGGCGG
rnacentral:rRNA from 1 species